rnacentral:rRNA from 1 species
AUGAUGAAUAGAACGACGGCGCCGACAUGGAUGACUCGGAGCUCAACCUUGUCAAGGGCCGCGAGCAGCGGCAACUUUCUUUUCCACGAGAAGAUGACCAAGGGCGCCAUCGGCCACUUUGUCUUCGCCGUCGAAGAGUCCAAGCUCGUCUCCGCAUCGGUUGCAUUGGUGCCGAUCAGGGAAAUGUGGACACUGGAUGAGCCUGUUAUACAAUACAGUCGCGCACCUCUAUCGCGUCGAGAAGGACAGGAAUUCUCAGGAGAGUUUUCUCCCUUUCGCAGGAUACACGAGACUGUGCGACGUCCGCUGGACAAAGCGGUUGGACUAUUUGAGACCGCUUGA